ensembl:snoRNA
UUGGUGUACUCAGAGGAGGGAGGGCUGAAGGAUGGCUCCUCUAUUUAUAAUACACUCAACAGGAAUCUGGGGUUACUGGGAUGGGGGGCACAAAACUUAUGUCUUCCCUACAAAUUCCCUACAUGC